rnacentral:misc_RNA from 1 species
GGAAGUAAAAGUUCGUAACGAGGUUUCCGUAGGUGAACCUUCGGAAGGAUCAUUACAGUUACGCGGCGGCUCGGCCCGCGCAAGCGACCGGCCGCUACACGCGUUUCUCCACCCUUGAUUUUGAGCACCUUUGUUUCCUCGGCGGGUCCGCCCGCCAGCGAGGACCCCAUUGAACUCUUUGUAGUAGCAGUUUUUGUCUGAAAAUACAACGAAUAAUCAAAACUUUCAACAAUGGAUCUCUUGGUUCUG